rnacentral:rRNA from 1 species
CCUACGGGAGGCAGCAGUGGGGAAUAUUGCACAAUGGGGGAAACCCUGAUGCAGCGACGCCGCGUGAGUGAAGAAGUAUUUCGGUACGUAAAGCUCUAUCAGCAGGGAAGAAAAUGACGGUACCUGACUAAGAAGCACCGGCUAACUACGUGCCAGCAGCCGCGGUAAUACGUAGGGGGCAAGCGUUAUCCGGAUUUAUUGGGUUUAAAGGGUGCGCAGGCGGAAGAUCAGGUCAGCGGUAAAAUUGAGAGGCUCAACCUCGUCGAGCCGUUGAAACUGGUUUUCUUGAGUGAGCGAGAAGUAUGCGGAAUGCGUGGUGUAGCGGUGAAAUGCAUAGAUAUCACGCAGAACUCCGAUUGCGAAGGCAGCAUACCGGCGCUCAACUGACGCUCAUGCACGAAAGUGUGGGUAUCGAACAGGAUUAGAUACCCCGGUAGUC